rnacentral:rRNA from 1 species
AGAGUUUGAUCCUGGCUCAGAACGAACGCUGGCGGCAUGCUUAACACAUGCAAGUUGGGCGAGAACCGAGGAGCUUGCUUCUCGGGGACAGCAGCGCACGGGUGAGUAACGCGUGGAUAACGUGCCCUGGGGUUGGGGAUAACCCACCGAAAGGUGGACUAAUACCGAAUGUGUUCCAUAGAGGUGAGCCUUUUUGGAAGAAAGCGGGGCAACCCGCGCCCGAGGAUCGGUCCGCGUUCCAUCAGCUAGUUGGUGGGGUAAAGGCCUACCAAGGCUACGACGGAUAGCUGGUCUGAGAGGAUGAUCAGCCACACUGGGACUGAGACACGGCCCAGACUCCUACGGGAGGCAGCAGUGGGGAAUAUUGGUCAAUGGGCGAAAGCCUGAACCAGCAAUGCCGCGUGAGUGAUGAAGGCCUUCGGGUUGUAAAGCUCUGUCAGCGGGAACGAAUAAGCCGAUUAAUACCCGGUGAUGACGGUACCCGCAAAGGAAGCACCGGCUAACUCUGUGCCAGCAGCCGCGGUAAUACAGAGGGUGCAAGCGUUGUUCGGAAUUACUGGGCGUAAAGCGCGUGUAGGCGGUCUGAUAAGUCGGUCGUGAAAUCCCUAGGCUUAACCUAGGAACUGCGAUCGAAACUGUUAGACUAGAGUAUCGGAGGGGAUGGCGGAAUUCCCGGUGUAGAGGUGAAAUUCGUAGAUAUCGGGAGGAACACCUGUGGCGAAGGCGGCCAUCUGGAAGAUUACUGACGCUGAGACGCGAAAGCGUGGGGAGCAAACAGGAUUAGGUACCCUGGUAGUCCACGCUGUAAACGAUGAGUGCUAGGUGUUGCGGGUAUUGACCCCUGCAGUGCCAAAGCUAACGCGUUAAGCACUCCGCCUGGGGAGUACGGUCGCAAGAUUAAAACUCAAAGGAAUUGGCGGGGGCCCGCACAAGCGGUGGUGCAUGUGGUUUAAUUCGACACAACGCGCAGAACCUUACCUGGGUUUGAACUGCAGCGGACCGGCGCAGAAAUGUGCUUUCCCUUCGGGGCCGCUGUGGAGGUGCUGCAUGGCUGUCGUCAGCUCGUGUCGUGAGAUGUUGGGUUAAGUCCCGCAACGAGCGCAACCCUUGCCAGUAGUUGCCAACAGGUAAAGCUGGGAACUCUACUGGGACUGCCGGUGUUAAACCGGAGGAAGGUGGGGAUGACGUCAAGUCCUCAUGGCCCUUAUGUCCAGGGCUACACACGUGCAACAAUGGUUGGUACAAAGAGUCGCUAAGCCGCGAGGUGGAGCUAAUCUCAAAAAACCAAUCUCAGUUCGGAUUGUAGUCUGCAACUCGACUACAUGAAGUAGGAAUCGCUAGUAAUCGCGGAUCAGCACGCCGCGGUGAAUACGUUCCCGGGCCUUGUACACACCGCCCGUCACACCAUGGGAGUCAGUUGCUCCAGAAGUGCCUGAGCUAACCGCAAGGAGGCAGGGUACCAAGGAGUGGUUGGCGACUGGGGUGAAGUCGGAACAAGGUAGCCGUAGGGGAACCUGCGGCUG